rnacentral:rRNA from 1 species
GACGAACGCUGGCGGCGUGCUUAACACAUGCAAGUCGAGCGGUAAGGCCCUUUCGGGGGUACGACGAGCGGCGAACGGGUGAGUAACACGUGGGUGACCUGCCCUUACGCUCUGGGAUAAGCCUGGGAAACUGGGUCGUAAUACCGGAUAUGACUCCAUAACGCAUGUUGUGGGGUGGAAAGCCUUGUGCGGCUAGGGAUGGCCCGCGGCCUAUCAGCUUGUUGGUGGGGUGAUGGCCACCAAGGCGACGACGGGUAGCCGGCCUGAGAGGGCGACCGGCCACACUGGGACUGAGACACGGCCCAGACUCCUACGGGAGGCAGCAGUGGGGAAUCUUGCGCAAUGGGCGAAAGCCUGACGCAGCGACGCCGCGUGGGGA